AGCCUACGUGAAAUUUUCAACCAAUCAAAACAAAACACUCAUCUUUUUGUUUUUUACACUUCAUCCUGUUAAAAAUAAAAUCCAAGUUAGUGUUUUGACACUUCAUGUCCAAAAAAAAAAAAUAAUUCACCCUCAACCAUUGUUCAUCUUGACGAAGAAAACCCAAGAAAAAAUUGAAUGAUUUCAUUAAUUUCUCUUAAAACAGGUGGUAUAUUUAUGUUAUUGACAGAAAAAACCCAAUAAUAUCCUAGUGUUUUGGCUGAUUUGAGGAAGGAAACACAACAAUAUCAUCUAAGAAUCAUGAUUUUGUGGCUCAAUCUCGUGAGGUAAAUCCAUUUUGAGUUUUUAUGACUUUUUUUUGUUCGUUUCCCAUUAAAUGUAGUGCCUACCUAGUGUAUUGUUAUGGUGAUGAUAUUUUGUAACUAUCAGAAAAAAGUUAAUUUAUUUUUUGAAAUUUUUUGUUGUUCACAACUAAGGGUGUACAUAGGUCGGGUUGAUUUGGUUUUUCAUUAAAAUAUAACCAAACUAAUAACGUCGAUUUUCUAAAUAUAUAAACUAAAUGAAACCAAUAUACAAUCGUUUUUUUUUAUUUCAAUUUUAGUUGAUUUUUUUUUAUUUUUUUGAUUUUUUUAAUAAUUAUAAUGCGGUUGAAGAAAAAAUUAAAUGUUUUCACUAAAAAGAUAAAAAAAUAAUGGUCAUAGAAUAGUUCCAAUUAAAAUUAAGUUGGUAAAUUAUUAAGACGUCUAAAUUACUAUCUCUCAAAAUAAUAUUAUGGAUACACAGUGGUUCAAUUUCUAAGUCACUAGUCAUAGUAACUUAUCUGAAAGUUUCUGUAAGACCACGCAAAGUUUCCUCGUCGUUAGAGCUUUUAAAACGAGUCACAUGGAACCUAACACUUGGAACUUUAGCUAAGUGUUCAACACUUAGUUUAUUUUGAACCUUCAAACUUCGGGGAAUUAAUUCAUGACCUUUCCGACAUCCGUUUUUCGAUUUUCAAGUUGUGUUACGAUUGAGAAAGCUCAUAGUACAUAUCGGAUGAGUUUUGGAUUUUUUCAGAACGCAUAAGGCCGCGUUUGGAUUUCAAACCAGUAGCAAAAACGCCACUUUUGACCAGUUUUCAGUAUUUCAGGGUCAACUUCCAACGAUCAUAACUUCCUGUAUUUAAUGAACUGGGUGAGCUACUAUAUAUCAAAUGAAAGCUCUUUGAGUCUUCUUUUCAAUGAAAUUGGGUUCAUCCAAUUUUUUCAUCGGAGUAAAAAGUUAUGAUCAAUUUACUUCAGCAUAUCAAACUAGUGACUGAGGCACAAAUAUGACUUUAUUUGUUUCCUUAGGGGCAUUUUGGUCAUUUAUCAUCCACCAAUCAUGCUUUAAAAUGGGAUUCAGCUUACAUUGGACCAAAAUUUGGUCAUUUAUCUAAAAAUUCUCAAGAACCAAACACAUGAGCUUUAACCAAGAAUUCAAGAUCUCUAAAAAUUCAACUGCAGGAAUUCAAAAAUAAUUUAGGAAGCAUAAUUUCCAAGUUGAGAUCUUCAAAAAGCACCUAUUAUUUUACGAGUAGAGUUCCAGAAUCGCAAGUUAAUCCAAAGUCACAAAUUUGAGGUAUGUGGGGUUUGAACAAGAAUUAUCCUUCCGGUCUUGUGCCCAAAACUUGAUUUUUAUAAAGAUUACGUAAAUUUUUAUGUUGAAGUUUAUACCAAUUUAUCUUAUUUUGAGUUUAUGAAAUUAUCCAUGAAUUGAGUAUUUGAAGGCAUUAUAUUUUAUCUUGAUAUGAUUUGAAUUGAGAUAUACAUAUUUUGAUUUAUAUUUUCCUAUUAAGAAUUGAUGUUGUUGAAUUUAUUUGAAAUGAGUAUUGAGAAUGAAUUUACAAAAUUUGUGAUAUGAAUUUUGAGUUGUUGAAAUUAUGAUAUUCCUUUAUCAAAUUAUUUACCGAGAUUUGAAUUGAAAUUUAUAUCAUGAUUUUUGAGUUGAAAAUAGGAAUCCACAAUUUAUUAUGAUUCAAUUAUGAGAAAUAUGAUUUGGCCUUCAUUAUAGGCCCUUGAGAUUAUUUUGAGGUGGAUUUCCUAAAUGAGACUGAGCUUGAGUACAGGAGUAGUAUUUAGCACCGAGCGGGAGGUGUGGGUGAGCGUACCCUACUUCCCCAAAACUACGUACCACCGUAGGAUUGAGAUUUGUGGGCCUAAGGCCGAGUUUGUGAUCACUGAGUUGAGGUUAUACUCCCUGGCAAGAGUAUGACGCUCCUUUCCAACGUAGGGUUUCUUCCUUAGGAGGACAAAACGUUGGACUCCAUGAUAAGUUCACAUGGUUUAUGUCGGUUAUAAGAAACUCCCAUAGUAUGUGUAUGUCUCUGCUCUAUCUAAGAUAAGUGUGUAUGGUUUGAAAACUAUGAUUGUGAGGAAGAAGCAAAAAUAGUAGAUACGUUAGGAGCAAGAAUAAAGUUUUUACAACAAUGGUAUAGAAACUUAUGUAAAAAAUAUAGAGAAGAAUUAAAAAUGAAAAAAACAUUAAUAAGAAAUUUAGCAUGUUGCAAAAAUAAAAUAGCACCCCAAUUUGGAUGUGAAGAAAGAUAUUAUAGGUUUUUUCUAUCCAUAUUAAUUUUUCUUUUAGAUUCUCCAUUAUUUUCAAUUCGGUGGUGUAAUGGAGAAGAUAACAUUAUUCCAGAAGUACAUCUAGAAUAAAAGAAGACAAAAUGCCAACUGAAAAGAUAAGAUAAGAAGCAAUAAUGGAGAUAUAGCAGAUACGAAAAAAUCAACGGAGACAAGAUAUUGUUGAAUUAUUGUACAAAGUCUUAUUAUUGUUGAAUUAUUGUACAAAGUCUUUAGACUUUACGUAAAAGAUGUAAUAAUUGUAGAUUUAUAGGUUUGUAGGAAAUUAAAGGCUAGUUAGUAGCCUAGCCUCCUUUUUUGACUUUCUUGUUAGCUUUUAGCAUUUUAAAACGUGUAAAGAUUGAUUGUAGAUUUUGUUCUAUAAAUAAAGGAAGCCGAAGGAAUACCUAAUAAAUCUAUUUCAUACGUCAGAUAUCCGCGCCCCCCUACAAUUGGUAUCAGAGCCCAGUAAUUCAAAAAAUACGGAAGUGAGAUAUAUGUUAGAGUUAUUAGAAUUUACCUAUAAAUUAUUAAAUUAAUUAUGCGAAGACCAUUUAANNNNN
rnacentral:lncRNA from 1 species